rnacentral:rRNA from 1 species
CCCUUAGAUGUUCUGGGCUGCACGCGCGCUACACUGAUGCACUCAACGAGUUUACGACCUUGCCCGAUAGGGUUGGGUAAUCUUUUUAAAAUGCAUCGUGAUGGGGAUAGAUUAUUGCAGUUAUUAAUCUUCAACGAGGAAUUCCUAGUAAGCGCGAGUCAUCAGCUCGUGCUGAUUACGUCCCUGCCCUUUGUACACACCGCCCGUCGCUCCUACCGAUUGAGUGCUCAGGUGAAUAAUUCGGACUGCAGCAAUGUUUGGAUCCCGAACGUUGCAGCGGAAAGUUUAGUGAACCUUAUCACUUAGAGGAAGGAGAAGUCGUAACA